AGAGACAGGAGGAUCGAUUGACCAGAAGUUCCAGCACCAGUUAGCCUAGAGUAUAAGCCAUGGCAGAGAGCGUGACACAGUCUUAGAGAACCAACUCCUGACAGCUGUGCUCUGACCUGCCGUCACUGUGUCGGGCACUUGCACAUAUACACAUACACACCAUACACACACGUAUAAAGAGACUGUGUUAAGAGUUCAAAUCUGGAACUCUAAGGAGCAUCUGAAUGUGACGGAAUGGAUGUAAAGGACACGAAGUUCGUGACAUUGGUGUGAGCAGAGAAAACAGGAAGUCGUAGACCUGGAGAAGAGAGGAAGGCCAGGAGGAGAGGGCGUUUCAGUGUGGGGCCUGGACACCCGUGACAAAAGAAGAUGCCCAAUAAGAUGUCCGUGUGCAAAGGCCCACUUCAGGGGAGUGGGCGCUGCAUGGGAGAAGACAUCCCUGAAAAGCUGAGAACUUGGACUGAGGGUGGCUCCUGAGAGACUAGAAGUGGACAUGGCAGCAACACUGCAGGUACCCUUCUUGGAGGCCUGAAGAUGGUGUUCCCUAAUGGUCGAGUUACAGAUAAUUGAGCCUCGAGGAUACAUCAGCUGUGGGAAACAGAGAAUGCCUGUGUCACUCCUGUGUCGUGAUGGUGAAACUGAGGCACAAAGCCUUCUGGGGAUGUGAAUGGGCAUCAACACUAGAGUCAAGUUUCAGUGCUAGCUUUCCUAUCUUCAGAGGAGGAUCUGCCAUGGUCGCUUCUGUCAGAGAACGAGAGACCCGCCUCUAGCACGAUGGGCAAUACUCAACGUUCUGAGAAUCAGACUGCGUGCACACGUGAGGGGAGUCAGUUACACUUCCAAGACGAGUCCCGUAGGGUGGAACAGAUGGUGCAGGACGACGUCUCAAGGAUGUGGAAAGCAUAGAUGGAACCCGCACCACAAAUGAGGUGAACCGUGUAAGAUAAGCGAGGUAAAUACUGUACGACCAAAACUGUCCGGAUUCCAACUUUACCGCCGGGCUCUGGGUAACCUUGGUGAAGGCUCCUUAUCUUGUGCUAAAUGCUUCCUGCGACCCCAACUCUUGAGCAUAGAAUGCGGUAUCUCAGGAGCUCUCAGCUGUGGAGAAAACUACAGACGUGUGGGUAGCAGCUUAGACACUGCUGGGCACAGUAGGCUGUGAGCCACGCCUUUUGCUUCAAUAAUAUCAUAUUUUCAUUGAUUAGUUGAGGGUUUCAUACAAUGCACCUUGAUCACAUUUUUUCCCAUCUCCUUCUGCCAGUUCCUCCGAUGUCCACCCUCUCUCCUUGCCCCCUCCACCCACUUUCUUUCAUGCAUGACUUAUGGAUGAAGUAGUAGCUUAUUUAUUUAGAGGAAACUUUCUUUAUCUGUAUCGUGAAGACUAGAUCACACUUUUCCUCACAUGUGUUUUUUGUUUGUUUGUUUGUUUUAAACUGGAUAUUUUAUUUAUUUGCAUUUCAAAUGUCAUUCCCUUUCUCAGUUUCCCCUCUGCUAACUCCGAUCCCUUCCCCACUUACCCUUCCCCCACCACCCACCCACUCCUGCCUCACCGCCCUAGCAUUCCUCUACACUGAGGCAUCGAGUCUUCACAG
rnacentral:sRNA from 1 species